rnacentral:rRNA from 1 species
CGGGCCUCUUGCCAUCGGAUGUGCCCAGAUGGGAUUAGCUUGUUGGUGGGGUAACGGCUCACCAAGGCGACGAUCCCUAGCUGGUCUGAGAGGAUGACCAGCCACACUGGAACUGAGACACGGUCCAGACUCCUACGGGAGGCAGCAGUGGGGAAUAUUGCACAAUGGGCGCAAGCCUGAUGCAGCCAUGCCGCGUGUAUGAAGAAGGCCUUCGGGUUGUAAAGUACUUUCAGCGGGGAGGAAGGGAGUAAAGUUAAUACCUUUGCUCAUUGACGUUACCCGCAGAAGAAGCACCGGCUAACUCCGUGCCAGCAGCCGCGGUAAUACGGAGGGUGCAAGCGUUAAUCGGAAUUACUGGGCGUAAAGCGCACGCAGGCGGUUUGUUAAGUCAGAUGUGAAAUCCCCGGGCUCAACCUGGGAACUGCAUCUGAUACUGGCAAG